UACAGAGGGUGCGAGCGUUAAUCUGAUUUACUGGGCGUAAAGCGUGCGUAGGUGGUCUUUUAAGUCGGAUGUGAAAUCCCUGAGCUUAACUUAGGAAUUGCAUUCGAUACUGGGAGACUAGAGUAUGGGAGAGGAUGGUAGAAUUCCAGGUGUAGCGGUGAAGUGCGUAGAGAUCUGGAGGAAUACCGAUGGCGAAGGCAGCCAUCUGGCCUAAUACUGACACUGAGGCACGAAAGCAUGGGGAGCAAACAGG
rnacentral:rRNA from 1 species